rnacentral:rRNA from 1 species
GAAUAAAGUGGCGAACGGGUGAGUAACGCGUGACCGACCUUCCCCCCGCACCGGGACAACCGCGGGAAACCGCGGCUGAUACCGGGUACUCCGGGGCCCCCGCAUGGGGGCCCCGGGAAAGCUCCGGCGGCGGGGGAUGGGGUCGCGUCCCAUCAGGUAGUAGGCGGGGCAACGGCCCACCUAGCCGACGACGGGUAGCCGGGUUGAGAGACCGACCGGCCACAUUGGGACUGAGAUACGGCCCAGACUCCUACGGGAGGCAGCAGUGGGGAAUUUUGCGCAAUGGGGGCAACCCUGACGCAGCAACGCCGCGUGCGGGACGACGGCCUUCGGGUUGUAAACCGCUUUCAGCAGGGAAGAACCUAUGACGGUACCUGCAGAAGAAGCCCCGGCUAACUACGUGCCAGCAGCCGCGGUAAUACGUAGGGGGCGAGCGUUAUCCGGAAUGAUUGGGCGUAAAGCGCGCGCAGGCGGCCGCUCAAGCGGGACCUCUAACCCCGGGGCUCAACCCCGGGCCGGGUCCCGAACUGGGCGGCUCGAGUGCGGUAGGGGAGAGCGGAAUUCCAAGUGUAGCGGUGAAAUGCGCAGAUAUUUGGAAGAACACCGAUGGCGAAGGCAGCUCUCUGGGCCGUCACUGACGCUGAGGCGCGAAAGCCGGGGGAGCGAACAGGAUUAGAUACCCUGGUAGUCCCGGCCGUAAACGAUGGGCGCUAGGUGUGGGGGGGACAUUCCCUCCGUGCCGCAGCCAACGCAUUAAGCGCCCCG